UACGUAGGUGGCAAGCGUUGUUCGGAAUUAUUGGGCGUAAAGGGCGCGUAGGCGGCAUGUUAAGUCGGCUGUGAAAGCCUGGGGCUCAACCCCAGAGGGUCGGCCGAUACUGGCAAGCUAGAGUACGGAAGAGGUAGCUGGAAUUCCCGGUGUAGCGGUGAAAUGCGUAGAUAUCCGGAGGAACACCGGUGGCGAAGGCGGCUUCCUGGACCGACACUGACGCUGAGGCGCGAAAGCUAGGGGAGCAAACGGG
rnacentral:rRNA from 1 species